AUUGAACGCUGGCGGCAUGCUUUACACAUGCAAGUCGAACGGUAACAGGCCGCAAGGUGCUGACGAGUGGCGAACGGGUGAGUAAUGCAUCGGAACGUGCCCAGUCGUGGGGGAUAACUACUCGAAAGAGUAGCUAAUACCGCAUACGAUCUAUGGAUGAAAGCGGGGGACCGUAAGGCCUCGCGCGAUUGGAGCGGCCGAUGUCAGAUUAGGUAGUUGGUGGGGUAAAGGCUCACCAAGCCAACGAUCUGUAGCUGGUCUGAGAGGACGACCAGCCACACUGGGACUGAGACACGGCCCAGACUCCUACGGGAGGCAGCAGUGGGGAAUUUUGGACAAUGGGCGCAAGCCUGAUCCAGCAAUGCCGCGUGCAGGAAGAAGGCCUUCGGGUUGUAAACGGCUUUUGUACGGAACGAAACGGCUCUGGUUAAUACCCGGGGCUAAUGACGGUACCGGAAGAAUGAGCACCGGCUAACUACGUG
rnacentral:rRNA from 1 species